AGAAGAUUGACACAUUUUUCAAGAGAAAUCCUGUAAGUGAAGUUGAGAGCUGAAAGUUGAAAAAUGUUGACAUUAAACAACAGUAGCCUAUUACCAUUAGAUAUUGUUUGCAUUUAUUUCAUGAUAUUACUUUUCAAUAUUCACUGAGGUUUGCUAGUGCCACAGCUGUAACUGUUUGACCCUAUUCCUUUACCACUGUACCCUUGUACUUGUACCCUCUCUCAGUUUCAGAGAGAGCACAGGAAGGUUCACAGGUGAGCAAUGAAAUUAAUGUUACAGUUUGUGAAAGAGGUCUAUGAAGGAAGAGAGGCCAUGUGUGUGUGUUUGUGUCAUGGGUGGUGCUUAUUUCCAUCCCAGGUGCACGCAUGUGUCUGGUGUGUUUAUAUCAAAUUCACAAUUUCAUUUCAAAUGUUUUGAUUAGGGUGUAUGUGAGGAUGUGGCCAGGAGUGAGGAAGACAGAGAUGAAGAGGGAGGAAAAGGCAGACACGAAGCGGGCAGACAAGAAGAACAGAGUGAGAGAGAGGUCAGAGAGGAUAAGGAUGACGAUGAAAUGGUAGAGAGAGGAGCAGAGAACUCAGACGUGGCUGUUACUCGCCAUCAGUUCAGUAAGCCCAAUCAACCAGAUCCAAAAUUAAUUGCUAAACAGUCCUUGCCCAAAUAUACUCUGAGUUUUCAAACUCAGUGGUACCAGAAAUUUCCAUGGCUCCAUGUGAGUCCUGGUGUUGAGGGUGUAUUGUGCUUUUAAUGCUCCAAAGCCUUUAACUCUGAGACAUCACCUCUUGCCAAGAAUGCUGAUUCAGCAUUCAUUUCAUCUGGGUUUAAAAAUUGGAAAAAAGCCCUUGAGCGAUUUACUGUGCAUGAGAGAUCUGAUAGUCAUAAGACAGCCAUAACAUCUAUGAAGAUCGAUCAGUACAGGUUCAGCUAUCUAGUGUGAGUGUGAAACAGCAAGAGGAAGCAAGGGGAUGUCUUCUCAAAAUCAUUGGUGCUGUGCAGAUGUUGGCUAGGCAGGGCUUACCUUUUAGGGGCCAUGAAUGGGGUGAGGUUCUGAACAGGUUCUGAAGUAUAGGACACGAGACGUGUCUGGAAAAGAGCAAGAGGCAGUGUGUUUGAGAUAUGUUGACAAGGAUUUAGUCCCUCGUGAAGAAUUUAUUGGUCUUUAUGAGGUUUCUUUGACAACAGGAGAAAAUCUAGCAAAAGUAGUCAUGGAUGUUUUGCAGCGCCUAAACUUGCCUAUCACUGGGUUGUGUGGCCAAGCAUACGAUGGGGCCGCAAAUACAAUGGAGCACAGGCCAUUAUAAGAAAAAUACAACCUCUGGCUCCCUAUGUUCAUUGUGCUGCCCACUGUGUUAACCUAAUUACACAGAGGUCCUGUACUGCCUCAAUAUUUAUCCGGAAUUCUCUGGAUUGGGUCAAUGAGUUGGGAGUGUUGUUUGGGCAGUCAGGGAAACUGAAGGACAUAUUUAAGGGAAUUGCAAGGUCUGAGGAGGGUGAGGGUCCAUGUCACACUAUAAGACCUCUGUGUCCAACAAGGUGGACGGUCCGCACUAGUGCCACCCGCACUGCGCUAAACCAGUACGAGUGCACAAUCAAGAUGGCAGUGAGUGAGUCUGAUGCGGCUAGUAAGGCACAGGGGCUGUAUGAGACAUUUCAAAUGUUGUCCUUGGUCUUGUGUGUGCUUUGGAGAUCACAGGGGAGUUGGAGGUUUUGAAUAUGUCCCUCCAGAGCAGAACACAGACCCUAGAUGUUAAGGUGUUAAGGAAAGUUUCAGCAAAAAGAGAAACACAGAGAGUUUUCAGGCUCUUUACACGAAAGCAACAAGGAUGUGUGAGACACUCCAUCUCACUCCUAUUGCCUCUCCUCGUGUCCGUAUCCCACCUCAGCGCUUCACAGGUAGUGCUCCUGCACAUGUACAUGUGUCCCCUUCUGAUUACUGCAGGACUGAAUUCUACAAAGUUCUGGAUGUUGCUGACAGUUUAGAGAAAGAUUUGAGCAGGAGGGAAUGCAGGUUAAGGCACCUGGAACAAGUUCUCUUAACUGGAAAGAUACAUGGUGUUGUCCAACAGUACCCAGAAAUCAACCCAGACAUCCUCAAAGUUCAGCUUGCGUUGUUCAGAAUGAAGUACAGCUUCCAGAGGUCCGUGGUCUCUUUGACCAAGUCGAAACAGUUGCCUGACUCCUCCUAGUUGUGCCUGUGUCAUCAGCAGAGUCAGAAAGGAGUUUCAGCAGCCUCCGGAGGCUGAAAACAUGGCUACGCAGCACCAUGACCCAAACCCGCCUCAACAGUGUUGCUGUGUGCCAUGUACAUAAAGACAAGCUGGACAGGGUAAACAGAAAAAAGAUUGCUGAACAGUUUGUCUCCUGUAAGGAGGGCAGAAAGAGCACUUUUGGUUCUUUUAAAUGAGAGGUAGUUGGUCAUACGUUCAUUGGUCAGUUGCUUGUUGUUGUUGGUUGCAUUUAUAUAUGUGUAUAGUACCACAUCCAUCCCCCUCACUUUUGAAGAGCUUGCUACGCCCCUGGUUGUGACACAUUGCUGGAGAGCCUUGUUGACAGUUUAUUUUUCUUUUUGAGAAGAGUUCCAUAGACCUAUGUCUGUUCCACUGGAAAACACGUUCCUUGUCUGAGGAUCAGGAUUAGACAGAAAACAUUCAUCUGAGAAGAGAGAGUGUCCUAAAGGUCCUUAUCUUUUUCCUGGGAGAAAAUCCUGAAGACGUUAUCAAGGGAGUUCCAUUAAAAUAUAUUUGGGGAAAAAUUAUUAGCGGGUCAGCGCGCGGGGAGCUUAUGAUAGAAAGACAAAACAACUGGUUUAAUGCUGUUUUACUAUACUUUUACUAUAAUAAAACAUUAUAGUUAUAUUAUAAAAUCUUAAAAUCUAAUCUAAUAAAACACCAACAUCUUGAUCCAACCAGUGACAACCCAUAGAUGUAUUUAACUCUGCUAUGGCUCAGCAAUUUGUUAUAAGAAGUUCUGUAGAAAUUAGUCAUGUCAGUUCAGUUCUCAUUCCAAUAGCAUCAGUACAUCAUUUAUAAUAAUGGAGUAAACUAAAUUGUACUGAAUACAGUGUAUUUGUUUGUUUCUAGGAGAGCAUCAACCCCUAAUUGACAUGAGGAAAAAAAUCAUUGAAAAGUGUUCAGUGUACCUCUCUUUGCAACGGAGGAAGCAUUAGGAAAGAGGAGAAGAGAGGAAGUGAAAAGGCACUCAACAGAUGUUGGAAAUGCACUGGUAACAACUAAAAAAAGAUGACCAAACAUAAUUCAACAGAAGAUGAUGGCUGUGGUGAAACAAGCACUCAAAUAAUGAAACUAAGACCAGUGGGAGUGCUGGAGAAAUCAAGUGUAUAAGUCCUCUGUCGUCUCAGCCAUGGAAGAGAUCUUCAGACAUGAAGAGAUCGAGGAGUUAAAUGAAGUCAAAGAGCUAAAAGAAGAUUUACAAUACUAGUGCCAUUUCAGUAUGAAAACAGAGAGAGAGCUGAGGCAGUGGAAAGAAAUGCAUGUUAUUGUGUAGUUGCAUGGACUAUCAGUGGAGGAACAGAAAGCUCUGAGAUUUGAUUAUAAAGAUCUUCAUUUGUGUUCGGAAGAUGAACGAAAGACUUGCGGGUUUGGAACGAUAUGAGGACUACAUCAAAAAUAGUGUUUCCACAUCUGAGAUGAAGGCAGUCAUAAGAACCAAGCGGAACGAUGAGGAUAAGCUCUUCAAAAAAUGAAACCUGUCUGAAUAACGAGGGAAGAAAUGUGCAUGAUUGCGUGAUUUGUAAAUAAACACAAAAUAACAGGCUGAGAGUUACACUAAAUGCAUUUAAAGUUUAAAGAAAAGUAAAAUAAUUUAUUGUUGCAUUGUUGUUUGAGACAUUCACUGUUGUUUUGUACCUUAAUUUAUUAUAUUGCAGAUGUGUAAAAUAAAACUUGUUGUUCUGAAUAUUCUGGUUGCAUUUCAGUGUUACUGUACAGCAUUUUAUUAGUAUUGCACUUCGGUAGUAUUGAAUUGUACUUCAGUUGUAUUAUAUAUUGCAGUACUACUGCAGGUUUAUUGCAGUAUAACUGUAGUAAUACUUCAGCUGUAUUGCAGUAAUGCUGUGGUUCUAUUGCAAUUGUUUGUUAGUAAUACUACAGCUCUACUGCAGUUGUAUUGCAAUAGUACUUCAGAUGUAUUGCAGUAAAACGGCAAUAAUGCAGUUUUUCCGUGUCCAAAAAAACUGAAUUUUUCUA